GCACGCGCGUUUGGAAGCUGCCCGGAAAGCUAAAGCGCGGGUUGGCGGGGCGGUCUCGGGGGGCGGCUCCUUGGGACCGGAGCGCGAGCUUCUGAAGGAGGGGUAAACUCGCGAGCUCUGGUGGCGAAAUGCCUUUUAGUAAUAGUUAAUCUUUUAUGAUUCUCGAGUUUUACUAGGGCCCGUCUCUCACUAUUGGGCCAGGGGUCCUUUAAGGGGGGGAAAAAAAGAGAAGCCAAUUGCGGAAGUCUCUUGCAGCUCCUCCCCUCCAGCCGGCGCGCGCAGCACGGGCGGGCACGUCCUUGCCGCGCCGGAUACGUCAUCACGGCCUGCGCCCGGGGCGGAGCGGAGCGGAGCCUCUGGGUCAAGGACGAGCCUGCGCAGAGCGUGGGAAAGGCAUGCGUUGUGGCGUCUGACGUAUCCGUGGAGACAUCUUAAGUUUCCCUCAGUGGGCACGAAAAAAAGCAAGUGUAGCCUUGCCUCCCGUGUCUCCUACCUCUCGGCAUCUCCGGGCUUGUGCAGGGGUGGUCCUGCUGCCUCUGCAGGAUGACGGCACCCGCAGCCCCUGCCGUCCUGUCUGAGAGAGCGUGUCAGAAAGCUCCGAGGUCCGCAGCUGCCCUUUCAGAGCAAAAGCAUCCUCUGGGUAGCUGAAGCUUGGACUUCUUUCUAAGCAAGGUAUGUUUUACCAGGAUCCCUUCAUGGAAGCCACAUAUAUCCAUAAAAGACCUGUCGUAGACGUCAGCCUAAUGGCUGUGCCAAUUAUGAGGACCAGCCACAGCCGAGGGAGGCCUUUUAUGGUUUGCACUCGGGUAUCAAACAGAAUGUAUAGUUAGUGCUCGAAAUUAAAUGGUUGAGACGUGUCGAUUUUUUGUUUUUGUUAUUUCCUUACAAAAGGGCUUAUAAACCCUGUAGGUAAAUAAUUAAGAUUUCCCAUUUGGGGGAAUUAAAGAUUCUGGUCACCAAAACAAACAAACAAGCAAAAACCCAAAAUGCCUCUGGGGAUGUUCCUGAUU
rnacentral:lncRNA from 1 species